AAUAAUUUGAGAUGAUAACCAUACAAGAUCUUGUUUAGCUUCAAAUAAGAGAAAAACGUUUGAUGGGUAAUGAUUUAUGAAGCACGAAACAUCUAAAUGAGGCAUGAGAAGGUUAUUGCACAUAACUGACGAUCCAAUGUUUAAAAUUAAGUUGCAUUUGGAGUACAUGGUAUGACAAGUUUGAAUCCUGACUAUAUAGUCUAAAAACAAUAAGAUCAGCUUUUACAAAGUUGCUUCUGGUUGAACAUCUAGGAGGGUCCUAGGCUUCGUCAAACAUCUCAUGAGAUUUGGUGCCAACUGGUUCAAUGUCUAAGAGCAUUGUCACAUCAAAUUUUUCAUGAGAUCUGAAGCACCGUAGAAAGAAUGCUUGCUAUCAAGAUUGAAGAAAAUUUAUUUGAUCUGCAAACAAUACUUUAGGAUACUUAAAAAAGUUCAAUGACCCAUAAAGAAUACCUUCUUAAAAUGAUAUCUCUUCUUGAUCGGAAAACAACAUGAGGACGAUCUAUUAUGAGAGGCUGAUUUGGUGAAGAAUACAGUCCCCGUAUCAAAACUUUAAUUACUUGUCCAACACUUGUUUCUCUUACAAAACUGACUAUAAUGAUCAUAGGAUACUAAUAAAAAAUCUAAGUUUUGCCUUCCAUGCCCUGCAAUUCAAAACAAUCGUCAAUAACAU
rnacentral:lncRNA from 1 species